UUUAUUUUAUACGGGCAACACUGCUGCCACCGUGAUGACAACCCUAUGAAGAUUUUGACAGAUAGAGUGCGCGUUUUCUUCGUGCACUGAUAAACUAUGUUUUCUUACGAUUGUUAUUAAAAAUUGUGUUUUAAAAGUGAAUACAAGAAGUUAUUGUGAUACGAAUUGACGUUUUAAUUCUGAUGAAAGCUAGGAGAUCAUACCCUAGCUUAUAUCAGAAGCGGGAAGAACAGAAAACGCCUAGUUACCAAUGGGGCGCGAAUGCUCCGAAUGAUCUCGAAAUUAAUGAUCACGCCACACUAUGCGAAACACUUCUAUACAAAGACGAGAUGACCACAGCACUGAUUGCUCAACCGCAAUAAUGCAUCAAGGACUUUUCUACUCAAGGAAAACAAAGCGACAUGGUCAACAGUAUUAUCAUCAACGUUCAUCCACUACAGCGCUCGUGAACGCUGAUGGUAUUGAAGAGUAAAACUGAAUGCCUACAAUCGGAUGAGAUUAUAACUGCGAAAGACUUGUGGAGCCAAUAAUGACGACGACCAGACAAGAUUCUUGUGUGUAGAUUACUGCUUGAUACACACUACGCCUGAUGGCGAUUAGACACCUCCACCGUGAUGAAACAUUUUACCAGGUACCCGAGACAUUGGACAAUCAGAUGGCUGGAAAGCAGGUGGCAAGUGAGAGUGCUUGGCCUCUGCAUCAGUAAAGAGAGGCAGGUGGCAAGUGAGAGUGCUUGGCCUCUGCAACAGUAAAGAGAAGCAGGUGGCAAGUGAGAGUGCUUGGCCUCUGCAUCAGUAAAGAGAGGCAGGUGGCAAGUGAGAGUGCUUGGCCUCUGCAUCAGUAAAGAGAAGCAGGUGGCAAGUGAGAGUGCUUGGCCUGUAAGCUUACAAUGUAGUAAAUGAUGUCAUUGCUUGAAGUUGUACAGUGACUGGCAAGUGAGAGUGCUUGGCCAGUGAAGCUAUGAAAAGAUAUGGUAACAAAUGUAGAAUAUAAAAAUAUUAAUAUCAGAUCUGUUUGAAAACUUGAUUACCCAGUAUACAUAUCUUUUCUUUGAAUUGUAUAAAUUAUUUUGCUAGUAAAAAUUGCACUAAAA